rnacentral:tRNA from 1 species
GAAAAGAUAAGCUAAUAAAGCUAUUAGGUUCAUACCCUAAAGAUAGAAGAAUUUCUUCUUUUUA